rnacentral:rRNA from 1 species
CAGGUCACUCCUACGGGAGGCAGCAGUAAGGAAUAUUGGUCAAUGGACGCAAGUCUGAACCAGCCAUGCCGCGUGAAGGAUGAAGGUCCUCUGGAUUGUAAACUUCUUUUAUAUGGGAAGAAAUUCUCGCAUUCUUGCGGGAUUGACGGUACCAUAGGAAUAAGCACCGGCUAACUCCGUGCCAGCAGCCGCGGUAAUACGGAGGGUGCAAGCGUUAUCCGGAUUCACUGGGUUUAAAGGGUGCGUAGGAGGGCAGGUAAGUCAGUGGUGAAAUCUCCAAGCUUAACUUGGAAACUGCCGUUGAUACUAUCUGUCUUGAAUACCGUGGAGGUGAGCGGAAUAUGUCAUGUAGCGGUGAAAUGCUUAGAUAUGACAUAGAACACCAAUUGCGAAGGCAGCUCGCUACACGAAUAUUGACUCUGAGGCACGAAAGCGUGGGGAUCAAACAGGAUUAGAUACCCUGGUAGUCCACGCCGUAAACGAUGCGUGCUAGACGUUGGGCACCCUAGGUGUCCGGUGUCGUCGCUAACGCUUUAAGCACGCCGCCUGGGGAGUACGGCCGCAAGGUUAAAACUUAAAGGAAUUGACG